rnacentral:misc_RNA from 1 species
ACAGAGCAAAAAUAAGUUAAGAAAAAAAAACCCAGAAAAUAAUGGGAUGAGUCCAUCGGGCUGCAAAACCAGAAGUCUGUGAAGACGCCUAUCCACUCACUCAACCUUUGGUUCUCAUAAUUGUGAUGCUUCCUUUUCCACCUUCAGUGCGGAUUUUGGUUUUGCCAACAACAGGCUUCCCAGAAAAAGCUGAGGUGGGGUAACAAGCAGGAUCUUCAUCAUUUUGCUUUGAUUUUGAUGGAGGAGUGCGGAUUCGCUGGUUUAUGUCCUUCAGGGUAACAUCUCCAUCGAACCCACAGGGUUUGAUGAAGGCAAAUGGAUAGACAACAGAUGAAGCUAACUUAGUGGGUGUUCGUAUAAAAGACUUCUUACCUUUAAAAACUACAUUCCGAGGAGUCCGUGGAACAUGCUUUUGAAGAGCAUUAGCUUCAUUACUGAGUGCAUCAUUACAGAACUCUG